GACCGAAUAGCGUAAUGGAUUAGCACAUCAUACUUCAGAUUAGAAGAUUGUGGGUUCAACUCCCACUGUGGUCG
rnacentral:tRNA from 1 species